GUCCCCAAACCACCUCACCGCAUAAUCUUAAGAAGUCACCUCACUCUCUUGACCACAGGCCCCUCAUUUGUGGAGGUGGAUUUGAAACCAUUUAUCUCAUAAGGUUACCAUGCAGAUUAAAUAAGACAAUCUAGGAAAAACUGUUAGCACAAUAGCAGGUAAAGCUGAAACAGAUGGUUACUAAGGAGACUAUCAGCUUUAUGACCUGAAGAAAGCAAAAUUUCACCCCUGGAAAAAAGUCUGCUACCUCACAAGCAGACAGCCUUUGAAUGUGAACUGGAACAUCAGCUCUCCUGGGUCUCCAGCCUGUUGGCCCAACCUACAGAUUUCGGACUUGCUAGUCUCUAUAAUCAUGUGUGCAGGAAACGCUAAAGGAAUUGAAGAAGAAAUACCCAAAUCAUACCCUAGGUUCCACUUAUCAAAGGUCAACAGCCGCUGUUGCUCAUUCAGUAAAGAUAACAAGGAAUUUCUCCCAGAAGAUGGCUUUGAUUUAUGGAAACCAUGUGACUGUUAAAAGGCAGAUUAUUUUUAUUUCAGUACUUGAUCCUUUGAACGGGAGUCUUUAAAACAACAAAAAAAAAAAUCAACCAUCAUUGGUAACACCAGCAUUUCAGAUCUUCGAACUACCUGUGACAAGGGUCACCAGGGCCAUCACGCCUGUCGUUGCUAAGAUCACAGCUGCCAAAUCCUUAUUGCCAUCUACUCUGCCUAAAAGCGCUCUGUCGUCAUGAACAGGAUUUCUGUUUACACUGCCCAGCAGGACUGAAGAAAGAGAAAAAGCUGAAAGAGGAAUUAGCUCUCUGCUUAAAGAAAAGUGUGAUCCAAAACCUUGACCAAAGAGCCACAACUGCAAGUCUGAUAGAAUGGAUGGGCAAGACGGGGAGGCUUUACGAUAUUUUUUUGUUUGAAGAGUUGUGAAUAGGUACCUAGAUCAUCCGAAGUACCCAAACAUCAAAUGCCAGUAUAACCUUACACAAAAUUAAUCCCAGAUGGAUAAAAAAUUUAAAGGAAAACAUAAAAGAACUAAGAUAUGUGGGUCCAUGGGAAAUGAUCCAUGUGUAUGGCUCCUAAGAUCUGCUUCUAAUGAUGUGGGGGAUAGAUGUAUACACACAGGCAAGACCUCCUGCACAGAAGCUGGCAGAAGAGUUGCUUAAACAACAACAGUUCAGUGACUCAUCUGUGUUUUCACAACACGUUUGUACCAGCACCCAUGUCUAUUUGUAGCCUGACAAUAAAGACCCUAUAUGAACCAUC